UCUGUGUGCCGAGGCACAGCUGAACCAUGUGGUUUCUGCAGGAUGCUGGGUGAGUUUGCUGAGGAAAUGGAUCACACCAGCUCCCGGAUGAACUCUGUGCUGAAGAAGAUGGAGAAAGUCUCUCACAUGACUAGCAGCCGGCGACAGUGGUGCGCUAUUGGGGUUCUGGUGGUGACUGUGCUCAUCGUUCUCAUCCUGAUCUUCGCACUUUGAUCCCUGACCUCCCCACUCCCUCCUGAGACCAGGCAGCGAUGGACAGGCUGAGAAGAUGGGCGCUCCUUUUCCUUCACCCCCUCCUCCGUCUCUCCCUCCACCCCUGGGACUCUGGGUCCUAUCAGUGCAUUCGUCCAGCUGGGCGCCUGCUUUUUUUAGACGGUUUUAGCUUCAGCGCUUCUGUGUCUGUGUGCCCUCGACCAGGGCAGCUCUCUCUCUCUGUUUCCAGACCAGAAGUGAUUUUAGGAUGCCAUUGGAUGAGGGUUGAGGGUCAAGGGUCACUGACCCCAAGCACAAGUAGAAUGGUCUGUUGCAGCUGGACCACUCUGUGGGUACCCGGAUUGGACCCGGAAUCCCCCGAGGGUUGUGGGAUCAAUAACGAGGUGCUGCUUGGAGUGAUCCUUCUGAUUAACUCUUUCGCUGCCAGCGAGCCUGUUGCCCUCCCCUUGGGAAGCCCCGGUGUCUCCAAGGCGAGAUGGGAGAGGUACCUGCAGGUCACCCCACCCUGACCUCACAGUCUCCCUGACCUCUCAUGCAGCCCAGUCCCGGCGGUGAGUCCUCUUACCCCCAGUGCUUUGCUGAACUAGCUGCUGGUUACCUGUAAAUUUGAAUGUUUUAUAGCCACUUACUUGAGCCUUGACAGAGCUGAAGCCGCAGUGCUGCUGUUCCACAGCUGUUAGCUGGCAGGUUCCCUCGUCCUGGAACCAGCUCAGCCGCCAUGCUGUUGGGGUACCCCCUCCCCGAAUCCUUAUGGAGCAACACCGCGGAUCCUCGGGACUCCCCCACCCCAUUUCCUGCCUGCGAAGGGCUCUGUGGAUCUGGGCCGGCCCUUUGGGAGUGUGGGCAAAAGGCCCGAUCUGACAGUUGAGUUUAAUUAAGGGCUGUGAUUAACAGGCCUGGGGGAGAUCUCCUGGGGUGAGUGCCUGAGUCCCUACGUACACAGUUGCUGCAGAUGUAGGGCGGGUCCAGACGGGCCCGCUUUUUAAAAGAGGGCAGAUGGCUGCUGUGUGCUGCUGUCUGACAGGUGUUUAGCGGGCUUUUCUGAUUAAUGGGCCUGGGUUCUGCUAACAGGACACAGCUCUGCAGAGGGCCCUGGGCUGUGUUGAGUGGACACAGCUCUGCAGAGGGCCCUGGGCUGUGUUGAGGGGACACAGCUCUGCAGAGGGCCCUGGGCUGUGCUGAUGGUACUGCACUCUGCUUUGCCUUAGGCAGAGAAGAUUUCUGGUCUCCAGAAAUGUAUUUACGGUUUUAUAUUUGUAAAAUAUCUUUUAUUACAGGACUGUUUUAUAAUACACCUUGAUCUUGUCAAUA